CCUACGGGUGGCAGCAGUGGGGAAUAUUGCACAAUGGGGGAAACCCUGAUGCAGCGACGCCGCGUGAGUGAAGAAGGAUUUCGGGAUGUAAAGCUCUAUCAGCAGGGAAGAAAAUGACGGUACCUGAUUAAGAAGCCCCGGCUAACUACGUGCCAGCAGCCGCGGUAAUACGUAGGGGGCAAGCGUUAUCCGGAUUUACUGGGUGUAAGGGGAGCGUAGACGGCAGCACAAGUCUGGAGUGAAAUGCCGGGGCUUAACCCCGGAACUGCUUUGGAAACUGUGCAGCUAGAGUGCAGGAGAGGUAAGUGGAAUUCCUAGUGUAGCGGUGAAAUGCGUAGAUAUUAGGAGGAACACCAGUGGCGAAGGCGGCUUACUGGACUAUAACUGACGUUGAGGCUCGAAAGCGUGGGGAGCAAACAGGAUUAGAUACCCGAGUAGUC
rnacentral:rRNA from 1 species